rnacentral:rRNA from 1 species
AUUGAACGCUGGCGGCAUGCUUUACACAUGCAAGUCGAACGGUAACAGGGUGCUUGCACCGCUGACGAGUGGCGAACGGGUGAGUAAUGCGUCGGAACGUGCCGAGUAGUGGGGGAUAACGCAGCGAAAGUUGUGCUAAUACCGCAUACGUACUGAGGUAGAAAGUGGGGGACCUUCGGGCCUCACGCUAUUCGAGCGGCCGACGUCUGAUUAGCUAGUAGGUGAGGUAAAGGCUCACCUAGGCGACGAUCAGUAGCGGGUCUGAGAGGAUGAUCCGCCAAAUUGGGACUGAGACACGGCCCAGACUCCUACGGGGGGCAGCAGUGGGGAAUUUUGGACAAUGGGCGAAAGCCUGAUCCAGCCAUGCCGCGUGUCUGAAGAAGGCCUUCGGGUUGUAAAGGACUUUUGUCGGGGAGGAAAUCCCCAGCGUUAAUACCGCUGGGGGAUGACAGUACCUGAAGAAUAAGCACCGGCUAACUACGUGCCAGCAGCCGCCGUAACAC